ACAUUUAAAGAGUGCGUAAUAGCUCACUGGUCGAGUGAAUUUGCGCGGAAAAUUACCGGGGCUAAGCUAUACACCGAAAUUGCGGAUACAGUACAUUUAACAGUGUAUGUUAAGUGGAGAAGCAAGAAGAAAGAUAAAGAAGAAAGAAACCAACUAACAUAUAAUGUUAAGUGUACUGUGUGGUAGAGGAGCAUUCUAUAGUAGGAAGAAGUAUGAUCGAAAGGACAUAUGGACGAGAUAGAAGAGAGAAUGCCGGAAUAAGUAGCGAGAGCAAAGUGAGAAUCUUUGCCGUCGAAAGUCUAAGGUUUCCUGGGGAAGGUUCGUCCGCCCAGGGUAAGUCGGGACCUAAGGUGAGGCUGAAAAGCGUAGCCGAUGGACAGCAGGUAUAAAAUUCCUGCACUACCGAAUACUUAAAAGAUUCAAAUGACACAGUAGAGGAAGGGAAUCCAGGAAGAGGAAAAACUGGAGCCGAAAGGCAUAGUGAAAAUAUAAAGUAAUGAAGUCCCAAGAAUCACACUGGCGAGAAAAGUUUGAAGAUAUUGUAUAAGGUACCCGUACCGCAAACCGACACAGGUAGAUGAGGAGAGGAUCCUAAGACGAGCGAGAGAAGUAUUGUUAAGGAACUCGGCAAACUAACCCCGUAACUUAGGGAGAAGGGGUACCAUAGUAACAUAUGGUCGCAGAGAAGAGUCCCAAGCAACUGUUUAACAAAAACACAGGUUUCUGCUAAAUCGAAAGAUGAAGUAUAGGAGCUGACGCCUGCCCAGUGCUGGAAGGUUAAGGGGAAGGGUUAGGAGUAAUCCGAAGCCUAGAACUAAAGCCCCAGUGAACGGCGGCCGUAACUAUAACGGUCCUAAGGUAGCGAAAUUCCUUGUCAGGUAAGUUCUGACCCGCACGAAAGGCGUAAUGAUUUGGGCGCUGUCUCGACAAUGUACUCGGCGAAAUUGUAGUACUAGUGAAGAUGCUAGUUACCUGCGACAAGACAGAAAGACCCCAUGGAGCUUUACUGUAGCUUGAUAUUGGGUUUCGGUAAUUUAUGUACAGGAUAGGUGGGAGACUGAGAAGUUCUGGCGUCAGCUAGAAUGGAGUCACCCUUGGGAUACCACCCUUAAGUUAUUGAAAUUCUAACCUGUGAUCAUGAACUGGUCAGGGGACAAUGUCAGGCGGGCAGUUUGACUGGGGCGGUCGCCUCCUAAAGAGUAACGGAGGCGCCCAAAGGUUCCCUCAGCACGGACAGAAAUCGUGCGAAAGAGUGCAAAGGCAGAAGGGAGCUUAACUGAAAGACAGACAUGUCGAGCAGAUACGAAAGUAGGGCUUAGUGAUCCGGCGGUAGUGAGUGGAAAUGCCGUCGCUCAACGGACAAAAGUUACCCUGGGGAUAACAGGCUUAUCUCCCCCAAGAGUUCACAUCGACGGGGAGGUUUGGCACCUCGAUGUCGGCUCAUCGCAUCCUGGAGCGGAAGUACGUUCCAAGGGUUGGGCUGUUCGCCCAUUAAAGCGGUACGCGAGCUGGGUUCAGAACGUCGUGAGACAGUUCGGUCCUUAUCUGUCGCAGGCGCAGGAUAUUUGAAGGGAUCUGUCCUUAGUACGAGAGGACCAGGAUGGACGCACCAAUGGUACAACAGUUGUCAUACCAAUGGCAUAGCUGUGAAGCUAAGUGCGGAAGGGAUAAACGCUGAAAGCAUCUAAGUGUGAAGCCCACCCUAAGAUAAGAUAUCCCAUACCGUAAGGUAGU
rnacentral:rRNA from 1 species